UACGAAGGGGGCUAGCGUUGCUCGGAAUCACUGGGCGUAAAGCGCACGUAGGCGGCUUCUUAAGUCAGGGGUGAAAUCCUGGAGCUCAACUCCAGAACUGCCUUUGAUACUGAGAAGCUUGAGUCCGGGAGAGGUGAGUGGAACUGCGAGUGUAGAGGUGAAAUUCGUAGAUAUUCGGAAGAACACCAGUGGCGAAGGCGACACACUGGCCCGUUACUGACGCUGAGGCGCGAAAGCGUGGGGAGCAAACAGG
rnacentral:rRNA from 1 species